rnacentral:misc_RNA from 1 species
UUUCCGUAGGUGGACCUGCGGAAGGAUCAUUACAGAGUUCAUGCCCUCACGGGUAGAUCUCCCACCCUUGAAUAUUUAUACCUUAGUUGCUUUGGCAGGCCGUGGAAACACCAUGGGCUCCGGCUUAUGCGUGCCUGCCAGAGGAAACAAACUCUGUUUUUAGUGAUGUCUGAGUACUAUAUAAUAGUUAAAACGUUCAACAACGGAUCUCUUGGUUCUG